rnacentral:lncRNA from 1 species
AUGAAUGAUAUAUCACUGCAUGAUAAAUUGAAUUAAGAGAAGAUCUUUGAGAAACACACAGGAAAAUAGUCCUGCUGUGGCUAGAAUCAUCAGGAGAUGGAAUGAAAGUUGACUGACUAUUUGGGGACAGCGAGAGAAACAGAUCUGGGGAGAUGCAGAAAUGAAGCUAACUUGAGCCUCUGUUGAUGAGCAACCUCAGAAAGAAGCUGUUGACAACAAUGAACAUGCAUAUACAUAAA